GUGUUGGCAAGGGAGGCCAUUUGCCGAACUUGGGAUGGUGAAUGUAUUUAGGAGGAAGAUGUGGAAACUUUGGAAGUGGUGGACACGGCUUCUUCGGAAUCACCACCGGUGGCACGUAGAUUGGUGGAUGCUCUAUCUUCGGCGGCGGCUUGUAGAUCGGGACUGGUGGUGGAAGCUCGAUCUUUGGGGGGCAUGCCUUCUUCGGUGGCGGCUUGUGAACGUGAACCGGCGGUGGGCAUGGCUUCUUAGGAGGUGAAUGCUCUAUCUUUGGUGGCGGCUUGUAAACGGGAACAGGAGGUGGGUGCUCUAUCUUCGGCGAUUUAGGAGGACAAGACUUCUUAGGAGCCGGUGGUGGAAGCUCCACCUUCGGGGGUGGAUCGUGAACCGGGACAGGUGGCGGAAGCUCUACCUUUGGUGGUGGUGGAACCUCCUCAGGGGGAG
rnacentral:lncRNA from 1 species